rnacentral:rRNA from 1 species
GAAUUUUCCGCAAUGGGCGAAAGCCUGACGGAGCAACGCCGCGUGAGGGAUGAAGGCCUCUGGGCUGUAAACCUCUUUUCUCAAGGAAGAAGACCUGACGGUACUUGAGGAAUAAGCCACGGCUAAUUCCGUGCCAGCAGCCGCGGUAAUACGGGAGUGGCAAGCGUUAUCCGGAAUUAUUGGGCGUAAGGCGUCCGCAGGCGGCCUUGUAAGUCUGUUGUUAAAGCGUGGAGCUCAACUCCAUUUGAGCAAUGGAAACUACAAGGCUUGAGUGUGGUAGGGGCAGAGGGAAUUCCCGGUGUAGCGGUGAAAUGCGUAGAUAUCGGGAAGAACACCAGUGGCGAAGGCGCUCUGCUGGGCCAUAACUGACGCUCAUGGACGAAAGCCAGGGGAGCGAAAGGGAUUAGAUACCCCUGUAGUC